AUGGCAGGACAAGCAUUUGGAAGUUUCUUCCACCCUGACCAAGUAUUGGUUGAAAGAUGUGCUGCAGAAACUACAACCAAAGGAGGCAUUAUGCUUCCAGAAAAAUCUCAAGGAAAAGUAUUGCAAGCAACAGUAAUAGCUGUUGCUGUUGGAUCAGGCUCUAAAGGAAAGAGUGGAGAGAUUCAACCAGUUAGCAUGAAAGUUGGAGAUAAAGUUACUUUCCCAGAAUAUGGAGGCACCAGGAUUAUCUC
rnacentral:lncRNA from 1 species